rnacentral:rRNA from 1 species
CCUACGGGAGGCAGCAGUGGGGGAUAUUGCACAAUGGGGGAAACCCUGAUGCAGCGACGCCGCGUGUGGGAAGACGGUCCUCUGGAUUGUAAACCACUGUCCCCAGGGACGAAGAUGACGGUACCCACAGAGGCAGCACCGGCUAACUCCGUGCCAGCAGCCGCGGUAAUACGGGGGGUGCAAGCGUUGUCCGGAAUCAUUGGGCGUAAAGAGUUCGUAGGCGGCACGUAAAGUCUGGUGUUAAAGGCAGAGGCUCAACUUCUGUACGGCACUGGAUACUUGCGAGCUAGAAUGCGGUAGAGGUAAAGGGAAUUCCUGGUGUAGCGGUGAAAUGCUUAGAUAUCAGGAGGAACAUCGGUGGCGUAAGCGCUUUACUGGGCCGUAAUUGACGCUGAGGAACGAAAGCCAGGGUAGCAAAUGGGAUUAGAUACCCUUGUAGUC